AGGGCGACGGAGGACGACGACGAAGACGCGAGCGGCGACGAGAGCAGCGACGACGCAACCCUCGGUCGCGAGUCCCUGACCGCAAUAGCCGGUUUUCUGGGCGAAUUAUUUGCGAAUCACGAAUAAUUCGCGAAUAAUUAUUUUUGACGAAGAAAUCACGUUUUUUUUCGAACUUUUCGCAAAAAUAUGAAAAUCGCCGUUUAAUUCGUAUCUUCAAAGAUACGUGAAUAAUUCGCGUAUUAAACACGAAUUAACUAACUAAGCUAUUAAACCAAUAACUCGCUCAAAUUUAUGGGGCGCACAUCAUCCUAACCGUAUAUUUUUUUCAUGCAAGUGCCGAAAACCUAAUAGCAUCAAUAGCUUAGUACUAUUGAUAGUAUUCCAGCCUAAUUUUAUAUAUAUAUAUAGAGUUGAGCUAGAAUAUUAUCGAUAACAAACGGGCUCCCUUGCCACCUAUUUGUUUUCGAUGAUGGAGCCUCCAAAUCGAUGAUCGGCACCGUUGAACAGGAUCUAUACCAUUUGAAGUAUUUAGAAAUCAAAUUUCAUACAUUUUCGAUAUUGUUCUCUAAUCCAUCGAGUGGACAUAAAAAUGAACAUCUGAAAAUGAAUAUUUUUAAAAAAAUGAUGAUAGGAGUCUUGUAAUCAAGAUCAAGGGUAUAGAUCUUGUUUGAAAUAGUUUAAAGAAUUUUCUAACAAGAAUUCAAUUGAUUUGAAUAUCUUUACACCGUUAAACAAGAAAACGCCUCAUAUCGGCCAUUAAAAUUACAAAUUUUGAAAUCCUUUGAUUAUUAGGCAAAUGAUGUCGAAAAGAUUUGAAAAUUGAUUUCUAAACACUUCAAGUGCUAUAUAGAGUUGAGCUAGAAUACUAUCGAUAGCAAACGGGCUUCGUUGCCACCCAUUUGUUUUCGAUGAUGGAGCCUCCAAAUCGACGAUCGGCACCGUUGAACAUGAUCUAUACCACUUGAAGGGUUUAGAAAUCAAAUUUCAUACAUUUUCGAUAUUGUUCUCUUAUCUAUCAUUAUUCUCUUAUCUAUCUAGUGGACACAAAAAUGAACGGCUGAAAAUGAAUAUUCUUUAAAAAAUAAUAAUAGGAGUCUUGUAAUCAAGAUCAAGAGUAUAGAUCUUGUUUUAAAUAGUUUAAAGAAUUUUCUAACAAAAAUUUAAUUGAUUUGGAUAUCUUUACGCCGUUAAACAUGAAAACGUCUCAUAUCAACCAUUAAAAUUAUAAAAUUUGAAACCCUUUGAUAAUUAGGCAAAUGAUGUCGAAAAGAUUUGAAUUUGAUUUCUAAACACUUCAAGUGGUAUACAUCAUGUUCAACGGUGCCGAUCGUCGAUUUGGAAGCUCUAUCAUCGAAAACAAAUGGGUGGCAACGAAGCCCUUUUGCUAUCGAUAGUAUUCUAGCUCAACUCUCUCUCUCUCUCUCUCUCUCUCUCUCU
rnacentral:lncRNA from 1 species